UCGAAAAAAGGCUGCAACAAUCCUAUGUGAGGGAGAAAGUAGACAAAGAAGCCUGAAUUAUAAAAAACAUUAAGUCAAACCCAAAGGCCUUCUUUCAUUACACGAAAGAAACAGCCUCAGUACACUACAAGAUUGGACCCCUCAUUCAAAAGGAUGGCUCCCUCACAGACAGUCCAACUAAGAUCAGUGAGAUACUGAAUGACCAAUUCGAAAGUGUCAG